AACAGAGCAGGAUAUGGGACAUGGGUGCAGGAGUCGCAUGCGGGACUCACCGGCCCAGCUGCGCCUGUGUGUCAGAGUCAUAGCUGAGGACAGAAGCUGAGGCCCCGCCAGAGUGCGAGUGAAAGUCACUCAGUCGUGUCCGACUCUGCGACCCAUGGACUGUGUGGUUCAUGUUUAGAAUUCUGCAGGCCAGAAUGCUGGAGUGGGUAGCCUUUCCCUUUUACAUGAGAUCUUCCUGACCUAGGGAUCGAACCUGGGUAUCUGCCAUCGCAGGCCAAUUCUUUACCAUCUGAGCCACCAGAGAAGACCCAAAGAGAUACAUAGGGGGCAUGAACUCCUUCUAACAAUCAGUUAAAACUCAAAAGAUUUUGAAAUGUUAUCUUUUCCAACUAAAUUUUCCUUAUGUGCUUACUUUUAAGAACGUAGCAUUGUAUCUGAAAAAUAUUUCCCUGUCUGGUUGAAUCUGAAGGAUCCUGACAAAAAAAAGAAAAACAGGGCGUUGAACUUCCCGACCCAGGAUGCACUCUAGAGAAGAAACAGAGUUGGUUCUGGCAAGCGCACCCCAACAGGUCUGGGUCACCCACCACCACCAAGGUCAGUCCCUCUUGGCCUCCUAACUCUCAGCCCAGUGAGUCCUGUCCGGGUAUUGUUAGCAAAAGACCGUGCCUGCUGCUCUGCCUGCGGGCACUCAGAUGCCAUUUCUCAGCAGCCUACAAAGAGCAAUGCUGAGCACGGCCCUGUUCUGCAAAGGUUUCUGAAACUUUGAAGGCGUUUCUCCCUCUAAACUUGGUUUUUCCUUAACUUUGAAGACCUUUCUCCCUCCUAACUUGUUUCUUCCAUAACUUUGAAAAAUCCUUCUUUAAACUUUUUUCUUCCUUAACUUUGAAGACCUUUCUCUCUCUAAACUUGUUUCUCCAUGAGUGCUCCAUCCUUGCAUAAUGAAGAUCGUCAACUCAAAUAGCAGGGAUUUCUCAGCCUCUCCCACGUCAUGGCACUGGGCUGGGUGCUGGGCACCUGGCUGAGGACAUGACCUCCUACCUGAGGUGCCUCGCAGGUGAUGAGAACACCAGAAAUGCUCAGAGGUACUUCCUAGAUAUUAUGAGAAAACAUCUAGAUGGUGGCUGCUGCUGCUAAGUUGCUUCAGUCGUGUCUGCCUCUGUGUGACCCCAUAGACAGCAGCCCACCAGGCUUCCCCAUCCCUGGCAUUCUCCAGGCAACAACACUGGAGUGGGUU
rnacentral:lncRNA from 1 species